ACGGAAGGCAGCAGUGGGGGAUAUUGCACAAUGGGGGAAACCCUGAUGCAGCAACGCCGCGUGAGGGAAGAAGGUCUUCGGAUUGUAAACCUUUGUUCUUGGUGACGAAGAAGUGACGGUAACCAAGGAGGAAGCUCCGGCUAACUACGUGCCAGCAGCCGCGGUAAUACGUAGGGAGCGAGCGUUGUCCGGAAUUACUGGGUGUAAAGGGUGCGCAGGCGGGACUGCAAGUUGGAUGUGAAAUGCCGGGGCUUAACCCCGGAGCUGCAUCCAAAACUGUAGUUCUUGAGUGAAGUAGAGGCAGGCGGAAUUCCGAGUGUAGCGGUGAAAUGCGUAGAUAUUCGGAGGAACACCAGUGGCGAAGGCGGCCUGCUGGGCUUUAACUGACGCUGAGGCACGAAAGCAUGGGGAGCAAACAGGAUUAGAUACCCUGGUA
rnacentral:rRNA from 1 species